AAGGCAGCAGCUGAGAGUGAGCAGUAAAGUGAGCUGUGUGUUAGUUUAGGGUGGUCAGACUAAGCAUUGUGUUCUGAGAAUUUUAUAUUUUAUUGUUAAUCUUUGGAACUGAACAUCUGUGAUCCCCACGGACCUGAACAUAUGAAGCAGCUUGAAGACCAUUGAUCUCUACUAUACUUUGUUGCCAGUAGGAGAUUGUGGUGGUCCCAUCAUCCUCCUUUUGAGGUAAAGGACAUGGCAGACAAAUUUUCAUGGGCACAUCUCAGUGAUGCAAAUUUACUAUCAGCAUCCAGUGAAACAUGCACAGAUCUGAGUGAUGCAAAUUUACCAUCAGCAUUCAGUGAAACAGGGUGGUCCAUCUCCAGCCUGGUGAACACCAUAUGUUCCCUGAGCCACAUGGCAGUGGAGAACUUGGACAGGGCAAGAACAACUCACUUUAGAGACACCCUGGCGAAAAACGAUAUACUAUUCAAGAAGAAAAGCCAUUACCAUCCUGGACAAAUAGUACAACUUCAAAAAAGACACUCAGUCAAGUCACCUGCAUGUCGUAUCAUCCUUCCUCCCUUUCCCUUAAAGAGGAGAUGGAGUGAAUUGGCUCUGCCUACAUUCAUGGUGGCAUCAAAAAAUGGCAACAUUGUGCAGCAGGAUGACUAUGUGAAUAUAGUGAAUAUAAAUGCUACAGAGACAGAUGCUACUGAUUUGUUUGCUAAAACAUCCAAGGGGAUAAAAAAGGAGGCUGAGAUUGAAGAGACAGGAAUUACCAUCUCAUUUAGUCUCACACCUCUGGAUGUGCUGUCCUUUUUGGAGGAUACCACAAGCAAACAGAAACCUGGAUGUUCCAUCCUUGAAUUAACAUCUACCAAGGGCCGUCUCCAGGAGGCACCUAUAACCCCGAACAGGAACAGGAACAGGAACAGCAGAAGGCUAUGGAAGUGGGUGAGGAGACAUAUUAUUCACCCAUUCAGGAGGUUUCUCUGCUUUCCCACUCGAAGUAGAAGACACAGAACAUCCAGGAUUGAUCAUUGGGCCCAGGCCCGUGGUUCCUAAACCACAGGCCUGUGUUCGGCCUGGUACAGCAGAACUGCUGCAGGGGGAACCAGGCCAGAAGAGGCAGUGUAUACAACCUUUUGUUACCUGUCAGACACCUCCACCAACCAGGACUCCAUCUCUGUAACCCCAUCUCCUACAGAGUGUGAGUAAUUAGCUCUCUACUCUUUGACAUCAUUGUUCCCUAUGCACUAGUGCAUGGACAAAGAAGUCAUACACAUAAACUUCCUGCUAUGAAGAGACAGCCAUCCUGACUCUGCAGUCCAGGUGUGUCUAUCACAGAGCAUGCAUUGGCUGAAAUCUAUGAAGAACAGCAGAUUAAACCCUUUCCAGUUGCCUGGCUUGGAGUACCAUAGGACACUGGCUCUUAGCUUGCUGUAGGAGGCCGCCCACAAUGCCUCUGUGCUGUGAACUUUGUGUGUUCAUUUAUGCCCUGAUGUGAAAACUCAAAACAUAUGAAGAAACUGGGGCAGUGUAACAAUUUCCAUACUUUAGCCAAGAUUUCUCAGGCCUAACAUGUAAAUUCCUUUAUGUUA
rnacentral:lncRNA from 1 species